GAGGAUCUGAAAUCAACAUUCCAGGCACCUGUAAAUUUGGCACUAAUGGAGCAAUGGGUGCAGGUACUGUACAUGGCAGCUCAUAUUUCACAUGCUUCUUAUUCAGUAGAAGUGCUGCAGGAGAUCGAUCCUCGUGUGGCUGUCUGCUCAACUCCAGGCCAGCGAAACAGAAGGAGACAGGACUGCAGACUGGACCGAUGGGCUGCAGGAUGGAAAAGCCACCUGGGGGACUUCCAAGGACGACAAUGGAGAGCUGGCUGCAGAGGAAAACUGGUCAGACCAUCUGCUGGACCCCCUCCCAGUCCCCAGCACCGCAGCCACCCAGUUGCUGUUGACUCAACCCCACUGGAGGUCUUCUGGGACUCGCCUAAAUCUCACUUUAUUCCAAGAGGACAGGAAAUUAGAAACUGUGGAAAUAUUAAGCGGGAUGUCUCUCUUUCUCCGGGAGAUUAGGCAGGAGGGAUACAGGCAAACAAACACAGACCGCUGCUUGCAAGUCUCCUUCCAAAAUCCUGGAAGUCAAAUGUGCUGUUAAUCCAUCCGAACAACUUUCUUGUGGAGUGGCCCCUCCCCCACCCCGCUUCUGGGAUGAAACCGCGUGUCGCGGUCCCGGAGCAAUGGCACGCUUUGGAAACGAUGAUUGCGUGAAGAGGGGAGAGGCGUGGGAGGCUGGCGGCGAGCCACCCUGGGGAUAGCGGGGAAUGUGGGCUGGGCCGCGGGAUCGCUGGAGGACAUUGCCGGGGCAAAGAAAUCCUCAGGAUUAAACAGAAAAUGUGCCGUAAUUCAGUGAUGCAACCAUGUGCAAAGAUUGACGCAAAAUGAGAUUUUUAAAAAUUAUUGGCAGCAGUUUCUAUGGAGGGAAUCAUGGAGAAAUUCGUAAAGAAUAUGUUGCUGCACAAUGUUUAUGUGUCACUCAUGAAGGUAUUAUGCAUUUCAGGGUUUUGAUCAGGAGGUGAAAUCCUCUGCGCAAGUUUUAUGUCGAGAAGCUUCGGCAAACUACAGCUAAAGUAACACAAAACACUGCAACAUUUAAAACAGGGUUUAAAACUUAUUUAUUUUAUUGUAAUUCUGGCAACUGAUUGAGCAGCCUGAUUGACACUUUGGAAGAUCUAGGAGCUUUUUGUUUGUCUACUGUUAAGAAGAGGGUGGUUAAUGUCUUAAAUGGAAAUGAAAAUGUCUGAUCUUCUGAGCUCAUUUGGAAACACACAUUUACGCACCCUUACGGCGGUACAGUGAGUAGCGCUGCCGUCU